UUUUAGUGUCUUAAUUAUAUAUAAGGAAAAUUUUAGAAAACCCAAUAAAUAUUUUCUUGCUUUAAAUCACUGCAUUCUAUAAAUAUGAAAACAAAAUAAAAAGAGUGUGUAGAUAAGUGUGCUUUAUUUUCCAUAUUAAUCUCUAAAAAAAUAAAAAUACCAAAAAGAUGCUUGAUGGAAAUGAUGAAACAGUUGCUGUGUUUGCUUACUUUCAAGCACCUAGCUUUUAUAUUGGAGUUCUUCCAGGAAUUACUAAAACUGAAAUUACUAUCUAUGGGAAACAUAAAACUAAAGUCUAGGUAAGAUAAAGGCAUGAUAUAAAGUUUGAGCUACUGUUUAUCUUGUUCCUACUACACUGAGUUCUGGAGAUUUAUUUUGAAAAUUUGCAAAUCACAUGAUGAAUUCCUAGCAUGACAAACUUCCUACUGUUGGGUAU
rnacentral:lncRNA from 1 species